rnacentral:rRNA from 1 species
UGGGGAAUUUUGGACAAUGGGGGAAACCCUGAUCCAGCCAUCCCGCGUGUGCGAUGAAGGCCUUCGGGUUGUAAAGCACUUUUGGCAGGAAAGAAACGUCAUGGGUUAAUACCCCGUGAAACUGACGGUACCUGCAGAAUAAGCACCGGCUAACUACGUGCCAGCAGCCGCGGUAAUACGUAUGGUGCAAGCGUUAAUCGGAAUUACUGGGCGCAAAGCGUGCGCAGGCGGUUCGGAAAGAAAGAUGUGAAAUCCCAGAGCUCAACUUUGGAACUGCAUUUUUAACUACCGGGCUAGAGUGUGUCAGAGGGAGGUGGAAUUCCGCGUGUAGCAGUGAAAUGCGUAGAUAUGCGGCGGAACACCGAUGGCGAAGGCAGCCUCCUGGGAUAACACUGACGAUCAUGCACGAAAGCGUGGGGAGCAAACAGG